UUUCUGUGCGCCGAGCUCCGCCCCACGAGCACCUGGUUUCGGGCGGAGAGCGCGCGCCGUUUCGUACUCUGUUGUCGUAUCGCGACUUGGGACUCGGCAAGAUGGGCAAGAAGGGCAAGAAGGAGAAGGGCCGCGGCGCGGAGAAGACGGCCGCCAAGAUGGAGAAGAAGGUGUCUAAGCGCUCGCGGAAGGAGGAGGAAGACCUGGAAGCGCUCAUAGCCCAUUUCCAGACACUCGAUGCCAAGAGGACUCAGAUUGUGGAAACUCCGUGCCCCCCGCCCUCACCAAGGUUAAAUGCCUCCCUCUCGGUUCAUCCUGAGAAAGAUGAAUUAAUCCUUUUCGGAGGUGAAUAUUUCAACGGCCAAAAAACUUUUUUGUAUAACGAGCUCUAUGUCUACAAUAUCAGAAAGGACGCCUGGACCAAAGUUGACAUCCCCAGUCCACCUCCGAGGCGCUGUGCUCACCAGGCGGUGGUGGUGCCUCAAGGUGGCGGACAGCUGUGGGUCUUUGGAGGGGAGUUUGUCUCUCCCAACGGAGAGCAGUUCUACCACUACAAGGAUCUCUGGGUCCUGCAUUUGGCCACCAAGACCUGGGAACAAGUCAAAUCAGCAGGGGGUCCUUCGGGUCGGAGCGGACAUCGGAUGGCAGCCUGGAAGAGACACUUGAUCCUUUUUGGUGGCUUCCAUGAGAGUACACGGGAUUACAUCUACUACAAUGAUGUGUACGCCUUUAAUCUGGACACUUCCACAUGGAGCAAGCUGUCCCCGUCAGGCACAGGGCCCACACCCAGAUCAGGCUGCCAGAUGUCCGUCACUCCCCAGGGCAGCAUCAUCGUCUACGGGGGCUACUCGAAACAGAGAGUUAAGAAAGACGUGGACAAGGGCACGCGGCACUCAGACAUGUUCCUGCUGAAGCCGGAGGACGGGAGAGAAGACAAGUGGGUGUGGACUCGGAUGAACCCUUCGGGGGUCAGGCCCACCCCACGGUCUGGCUUUUCUGUGGCCAUGGCCCCGAAUCACCAGACGCUGUUCUUCGGGGGUGUCUGUGACGAGGAAGAGGAAGAGAGCCUGGCGGGCGAGUUCUUCAACGAUCUGUACUUCUACGACGCCACCAGGAACCGCUGGUUUGAGGGACAGCUGAAGGGGCCCAAGUCUGAGAAGAAGAAACGCAGGCGGGGCAGAAGAGAGGAGCCCGAAGGUGGCAGCAAGCUGGCGUGUGGGGGAACUGGCACUCAGGCACCUGUAGAGGUGGUCAAGGAGGUGGUGGCCGAGGAUGGGACCGUGGUCACCAUUAAGCAGGUGCUCGCCGCCCCAGGCUCAGCAGGGCAGCCCCAGUCUGAGGACGAAGACAGCCUCGAGGAGGCCGGCAGCCCCACACCCGGGCCGUGUCCACGCUCCAACGCCAUGCUGGCUGUGAAGCACGGGGUGCUCUAUGUCUACGGGGGCAUGUUUGAGGCCGGCGACCGCCAGGUCACCCUCAGCGACUUGCACUGCCUGGACCUGCACAGGAUGGAGGCGUGGAAGGCCUUGGUGGAGAUGGACCCAGAAACUCAGGAGUGGCUGGAGGAGACAGACUCGGAAGAGGACAGUGAGGAGGUUGAAGGUGCUGAGGGUGGAGACGAGGAUGAGGACGAAGACAGCGGAGAGGAGAGCGGUGUGGAGGACUGAGGCCUCCCCCUCGGCUGAAUGUGUUUCUCUCUCAUUCCUUCCUCCUUGCGUAUCAGAAGAGCCCCCUCCAGGGGCACCUGGCAAGUGCUGUGCCCACGUCCGCCCAGGACCCAGCCGUGUUGGGUGAAGCUCUCGGAGCCAGCCUGUGCCCUGACACACGAGAGAGAGCUGAAGAACCAGAAGAGGGCCCUGAUUGCCCAUCCAUCUUCACACUCGGAAUCAGCCUUUGACGUCUGGAAACUGAAAAGCAGCCCAGGGCCAGUGCACACCUUCCCUGUUCUAGUUCAUGUACGGCACCACUGGCCGGCUCCACACGCCGAUCUCCUGGUGGGGGUCCCUCGUGUGCAGCGGCCUCACUCCUGGGAGCCCCCAUGCCGCCACAUGGUCUCUGGUGAGGCCCUGGUGGUCCCUGUCCCGUUUAGGGUUUAGGAUUAGCAUUUGCAGAGCGACAGGAUGGGAGGCCAGAGGGCGAGGGCUCCCAGCGUUCCCACAUGGCUGCCACCAGGUAUCUCCGGCCAGCUCCUCCUGGCGCCCGCGCUGCAGCACCCUUGCCCCCGAAGGGUGUGGUGCGCUAACCCCCACCCGAGGCCUGCUCCAGUCCAAGACUGAAGGCCAGUUCAGAUUUACACAAUUGGGGCCAAAAGUUGAGCACUGAAACCACACCUGGUGCAGUUUUGUGGGUAUCUUAAAUAUUUUGAACAGUGGGAAUAUAGGAUCCUUAGCUUUCUGUAAUGGGCCGACAUAACUGUGGUCCCAUUUCUUAUCUGGGAGCUGAAAACAAGGGUGGUGGGGAGACUCCCCUCCUGGCGGAACCAGUGUUGAGCAGAGAGGACUAGAAGCUGACUUGGCAGCGAGCACCUGUGAGUACCUCCCUGCUUCCUUGGCCGAUUCGUCCUCAUGGCUCCAGGUGGGCCCAGGAGUACCUGGGUCACCAUGGGGCAGUGGCUUCAGAAGCGUCAUCUCAGGAUCACCUCAGGGGCACUUGGCCAGCUCUUCCCCAGCAGGGGCACGUGCUGAGCUCCCUGGUGCAGCCAGGUGUUCAGGAGGCCUCGGCGGAUGGGUGGCACUUGAACUGGCCCCGAGGGCCCUGCCCGCUGCCAUGGGUGUGACCUCACUUUAGGCUCCGAGCACUGCCUGUUUCCUGGUGGGGACACCUGUCUGGUGCGUCCGGAUGUGUGGGUGGCACUGCCGAUGGGUGAGGCUGCAGGCGUAGCCCCCCUGGAGGGCUGCAGCUCGUGUGUACGUUGUGCCGGCCCCCCCGCCGACCCCCGAGGGCUGCAGCUCGUGUUUGUCCUGUUGGGCUUUGGCGGUCGGUUUGGGCACUUUGUCUCGAGUGCGGGGCAGGCAGGGUUCUUGCCUCACGCUCUCAGCUGAGCUGGUUGGGAGAGGCUCGGGCAGGGCUGAGAAGCCAGAGUGCAGGCAGCAGCGUCCCCUGCCCACACAGACUGCGGCUCUGGCCCUUGUCCUGAAGAUGGACCCCGUUGUGUGGCCGGUUCUUUCUUCCCUCCUGCUCUUGGAGGAAGGAAUGGAAAGAUCUUGUUGGCUUCAAUGCAGUUGUCUGUUAUCAGAGAUUUUCUUUCAGAGGAGCUUGUAACUAAUUAGAUGGGAUUCCAAGGAAAAAGAUGCUUUUGAAUCAACCAGGUUGAAAGAAAGAUGACAGUAGCCCUGAGGAAGAAACUUCUUGUACAGAAAGCAUUUUGCUUUUGUUGCUAAAGAUUUGAUUUGAAUGAAAGAUGCUGAUCAGAACCAAUGGGGAUCAGACAGACAAGCUCCCAGCAUGGAGUGGCUGCCACGGCCGUGAUGAAAACAGCAGCGCCCCUUCAAUGUGGAACCGCGGGAGACGCAGAACGCAACACAGGGUGGUGGAUUCCCGUGCAGAGCUCUGCCUGCCCCACGGGCCUGUGGUCUGCUUUGUCUGCUGGAGCCCAGUUUACUGAACCACUUGGUGGCCAGACAGCCGCCAUAGGGCAUGAGCAGCCAGCAUGAAAGCCCAGGGCCUCUGUCUCCCGGGAGCUGCUGGCACAGCGCGGCUGGGACACGCCAUACUCGGUGCCACGUUUUCCUCCAGUUCCUCGGUGUGGUGAGCUGCUGGCUGUUAGGAAGGCUUUCCCUUAGCUCCGGCCCUCCCACACAGCCCCCGGACCCCAGACUGCAGGGUGGGCGGGCAUGUCAGGUGAGGCGCUCUGGCCAACCCACUUGGCAGCAGGGCCACAGCUGCUCGCAGGGCUUUGUGGGAUUUCGAAGGAUGAAUCAUCUUGUUCUCCAUUCUCCCCCUGCUGCCCCUGCGCGCCAUGCUCUGUGUGAGGAUGAACUGGAGGGACUGGCCAUGAGCGGUGGCUUUUUUCGUGGUUGGGGCGGGGGGGUGUUGGGUGGAGUGAACAUCAAGGGAACUACCCGUUGAGCUUAGAAAUCCUUGCCAGGCGGUUGGUUUGUGUUUGUUUUUAGACGAGAGUAGUGUUGACUGCGAUUUGACAUCUGAUUUUUUUUUAUAUGAGUUGGUACAAACAGGAUGUCAUUGGCUAGGUGACAGUUACAGAGUCACUGAGGGACCAAAUGCCAAGAUGCCUGUUGGUGAGAGAGACCCUCUCCAGGGCUUUCCAGAGGCGCCUCCUUCCACGUGACGUUCAGGUAACGAGGUGAGACCCCACGCUGGACGUGGCACUCAGGUGUUGCAGUGAGGAGGUGGCGCCGUGUGCUGGAUGGCUUCCACCAGAGAAGAGUCUGCUUUCUUUCAGAAGGAGCAGGGGAUGGUGGUUCCCCAGCCCAAAAGGAAAAGGGGCCGAGCUCUAGCUGUGAUCACGACCUCAGCCUGCCUUCCUUUGUGCGUGGGAGGAACUUGCUAGUGACCGCUGCUCUCCCAGGCAGUGUAAGAGUGUUGAGUGGAGGCCCGUGGGCGCUGGAGGCCCAUCUCGUUUUCAUAACCCAGAUGGCUCCCAGCGCAGGUUGCGGUCACCUCCAUUUCUCUUUCACGAGAGAGCUACAGCAAUGCCAUCUGGGGCCUGGCCACGCCUGGUCACUGGGGUCCUGAACAGUGGUGUCCUGAGGCACACAAGCAGUCCCUGCUGGACGCUGACGCACUGUCAGGGCCAAGGGCCACAGUGCAGGUACCACGGCGACCUGGCUUCCCUGAGUUCAGCUCAUGCCCCUCGUUUUCCUUGUCUCAACCUUCAGAGCCCUUCCAAGCCCCCACUGGCUGCAGCCCACCCAGGGACCCACCUGUAGAGGCUGGACUCAGAGAGAUCACUGAGGUGUGAGAGGCGCAGGUUUACAAAACUCUGGUUGGGAAGAAAGAGAUUGAGUAACCACUCCCUAAGAAACAGAAACGGGGACAUUUAAUUACAUGAACGCGCGCAUUUAAAAACCGCCUGUGCACUCCCGGAGGGCAGAGCCUGCCUCUCUGGUGAUUUUUGUGUCCCCCCAUUCAC